GUAGUCUCCUAGUGAAAUCCCUAAAAGGUCUUAUAUUUUGGAACGGAGGGAGUAACAAUUAUUUACGCAUUUCUUCUAUCAAAGUUCCAGCUGCAACGCGCGGGGCAUCAUCUAGUUCCUCCAGAUUUAGAGGAAAAUGAACAUCUGGUUGAGCCUCUCAUUUUUCAUUUUCCUUUCCAUGGUGUAGAGAAAUGCCGACUCUCCUCGCUAUUACUCGACGAGGGAGAGGAGGCCGGAAGGAAUGAAGUGUGCCGGCGUCACCACUCGGUAGGGAAAGUAUGACGUUGGCCAUUAAGAGCAUCUCUAGCAGACCUCGUAUAAAGCCGACAUGCAAAAGUCGUUUGCAGUUCAUGGAAAAACACUUUUGCGGGUCGGCGUGGACGGCGGUCGAGCAGACCCCACAAAACGGACCCGCAUAAUAUCCUUUUUAUACGGGUCUGUUUUGCGGGAUUUGCUCGGCUGCCGCCCAUGUCGGCCCGUAAAUCUGUUAUUUGCCUUUCAAUUUCAAGUAUUGCUUCUUUAUUUUCUUCAAAGACAUUGUAUACAUAAUAAUUUAUCAAUUUUUUUGCUAAAACAGCAAGACCAAAGGAAACAAGAACCAUAAUUAGGCAUUUUUAAAGAGAUCUAACUUUCAUAACUGCUCCCACUAGUUGGAUCAACAUCUUCUCCAUUCAUUCA